GAUGAACGCUGACAGAAUGCUUAAUACAGAACCACUGUUUGGGUGGCUGACGGGUGAGUAACGCGUAAAGAACUUGCCUCCCAGGUAGGGGCAACAUUCGGAAACGAAUGCUAAUACCUAACGCUGUGAGAGAGCUUUGCGUACCAUUAGCUAGUUGGAGAGGUAACGGCUCACCAAGGCGAUGAUGGGUAGCCGGCCUGAGAGGGUGAUCGGCCACACGGGGACUGGGACACGGCCCUUACUCCUACGGGAGGAAGCGGUGGGGAAUAUUGGACAAAGGACCAAAGUCUGAUCCAGCAAUUCGGUGUGAACGAUGAAGUUUUAGGAAUGUAAAGUGCUUUCAGUUAGGAAGCGGUACCAACAGAAGAAGUGACGGCUAAAUACGUGCCAGCAGCCGCGGUAAUAC
rnacentral:rRNA from 1 species